UAAGAAAUCCAAAAUGGCGGCCACGUGCAACUAGCAUAGAGGCAAAUAGCGGAGAUGUUCCACUGAUGAUUGACUGUGUUGCUACUGUUAUAUCUUUUUUGCAGAUCUCCUCCUUCAGUGAAGCUCCUCCCACUGCAGUUCACCAAUAAACGCUGGAAUAUUCCCCUCAGCUACAAGUGAAGACGAGCAUCAAACCAUCAGGAAGAGCUGACACAAACACAGAGUUUAUUGAAGGACACUGAGAACAUGAGAUCCAGAACACUGCAGAAUGAAACGUACUGAAGAACAAAGAGGUUCUGAGUGCCUGACAACUGUGAGGUGAGUG